AACGUAGGUGGCGAGCGUUAUCCGGAUUUACUGGGCGUAAAGCGUGUGCAGGCGGGUGGUCAAGUGGUGUAUGAAAGCACUGCGCUCAACGCAGUGACGGUAGGCCAGACUGACCAUCUGGAGGGCGAGAGAGGGGCGUGGAAUUCCGGGUGUAGUGGUGAAAUGCGUAGAGAUCCGGAGGAACCCCAGAGGCGAAGGCGGCGCCCUG
rnacentral:rRNA from 1 species